rnacentral:piRNA from 1 species
UGAGCUUUGACUUAGCCAGCAGCAGAUU